UUCAAUCUUAAAUGUUGAAUGACCUUCUUCUCGGUCCCACCAUUCUUCAAGAGGAGCCACCGUGGUCCUUCAGCAGACUCAGAAGCGACUGGCAAACAAAGUUACGGGAGUUGUGAAACUGCACACAACUCUGUUCUCCCCCCACCAUCAAGUCCUCGGCGCAGGUGUGCGAGAACCAGGAGGUCUUGCAGAGGUUGAUGAGUCACCAAAAAAGAGGGCUUCGUUUGGAAAGCGGCAGCUGAUGACGCAUGGUGGACGGUGAAGCAAAACACGUCGCAUGUAUCAAGACAGCAUAUUUUCGUAAGUCAGGAUGUCUGGCUUAACAUCAUACGUGAAGCUGGCUCCCGUGGCUUGUUUGGCGAACCAUGGUUAAAAAAACAAUUUUGUCCGAACCCAACUCUUGAGUUGACUUCUCUGCUUUCUAAAGGUUUCCAAUCUUCUCUUGAAGUUUCUGACCGGCACUGGAGGUGGAAGAGAAUUCAUUAUGACGGAUUAUAUUCGCUCGAGAUGAUGUCGGCUCUUAAUGAGCAUCUAGAUACAUUUUCUCCAGGAGGAUCUGUUCCCAGUCUGGUCCUUUGGAUCUGUACCCCCAUCACUGGUACAAUGGAGUCUGUCAAUCUUGCAGCUGGUCAUCCUCUUCUUCUCUUCCCUUCCACCUAAAUAUGGACAUAAUUAGGACCUCUGGUGGCUCAACGGACUAAGUCUGUCUGUUAUUAACACAGCUGCUUGCAAUUACUGCAAAUUUAAGUCCCACCAGGCCCAAGGUUGACUCAGUCUUCCAUCCUUUAUAAGCCUGAACCUUCAGCUCUUCCAACAGUACUUUCAUCAUUGCUACAACAGAGUCUACCCAUCUUGCUUCUGGUUGUCCUCUUCUCUUUCUCCUACCUUUCUCGGCGUCUCCUCCAGAGAGUUAAGGUCUUUGCAUCAUGAGUAGGGUAAUUUGAGCCCUGUCAUUUGUGCCUUGAGUGAAUUGAUUGGUUCUGAUCUAUUUCUUUUUAUUUCCUGGUGAUUCACGGGACAGGAUACUCAGCAGUCUUCUCCAACCCAAAAGUUCAAAGGCACCGAUAUUCUUCUCAUCCUAACUCUUCAAAAGAGUUAGACAUUCACGUCCACAGAUAAUCCAGGGCUGGAAGGGACCUCGAGGUCAUCUUGUCCACCCCUGCUCCAACAGGACAUUGUCAGUGAGUUUCUGUCUUUUGAUCCCCCAGUCACAUAGCCACGCCCAGCCAGUCACAUGUCACCUCCCAAGCCACGCCCACAGAACUGGUAGGAAAGAAAUUUAGAUUUUACCACUGGUGCAGAUAUAUCUUGAUGUGUACCGUAAGUGCGCAAUGUUAGUUUUACUUUCUGCUGUUGUUUGCUUCACGUUUAUACUCACUAGGGUUGCUCGGUCUGGCACACUUCUUGGUUACCACGUCCCUAUCCUAGUGCACACACACCCCACAUCAAUAAAAGCCUCUUCUCCUUUGAAAGCAAUUUCCCAAAAACACUUUACAAAAAGCAGGCACUGAUUACAUUUUCACUUUUUUCACUAUUAUAUCAAGAUCCUUUUCCUACUUAAGUCACACUCUUUCCCGCUAGAUAUGAAACUGAAAUUGUUGAUUCCGAUACUGGCAACCAGAGUUUGAAUUGGCUGUUGUCGUUUUACAGCCUUGAAUAAUUUGAUAUAACCAGUAACAUUAGUUUAUUUAUUAGUUAAGCUAAAAUUAGGUGUAUUUAUUAGAAAUGUAUAAAAAUGCCAAUCUUCAUUUCUUCUCAUUUUUAAUUUUUGAGGUUAUACCAAUUUUUCCCCCCUUAGCUUUCCAUGUCCAUAAAUUGGCAUACUUGACUGAUGUUUUUGCUUUAAAAUUUAUAUUUUGUCUUCAUUUUUCCAAACAUAAGAAUACAGUUUGUUUGCUUAUUAAAUUUAUAUCCUGCCCAACUUGCAGUCAAAUAUUUAUCCAUAACCGAAAGCAUUUUUCAUUGUUUUCAAGGACAUAUA